ACUCCAGCCUGGGUGACAGAGCGAGACCCUGUAUUAAAAAUAAAUAAAUAAAUAAAGUCAUUAAAAAGCGGAGAGCAUAAGAGUCACAAUAUUUAAGAAAGCGAAUUUUAAGCCAAUUGCUUGCUGGCCUGCUGAAUUUGAAGUACUUCUAUCUCUCACUUCUGAUUAAACAUGGAAGAAAACAGACUGGCUAAUUUGGUUAUACUUUGUCCAAAUACAAUGUUAACGUAAUGGAACCCUUAAAUAUCCAAAAUAAUAACUGAAUGCUAGUUAUAAUACAAUAAUAAAAAGUUUAAAAAUCUUCCAAAUGUGCUGUUAACAGUACAAAUUCAAGUACAGAAUUAUUAUGCCAUUUUAAGUAUUAUCUACUUUAUAAAAAAAUCACAGUGGUCUUCAUCACAUGGCAAAAAAACAAAUUUCACUCUUCUCCAAAGGAGUAAGGCCAUCCUAAAUGUAACUACAAACAAUUGUGUAAAACUUUUUGGGUUUUUUCCCACAAGCUACUAAACAUUUUCCAUUGCACUAUACUUGAAUUACUCAGGGAAAAUAAGAUGACAUAUGUUGUAGUUUUGCAGUGCAAAAAAGAGCUUUCAUUUUAGACGAAUGGACAACAUAGGAGGCACUAAAAAAUACAGGUCUAUUAAUCAAGAGCCCAUUUAAAAAUGAUUCAGCAUUUAGUAUGUAGAUCUGGAAUGCAGAGUUUCUGGAAGUAUAAGAACUUACAUAUCAAAAGAGCUUAGUGUUAAACUGUGCCCUUAUACCCUCUUCUAAUAUUGUAGACACCUGCCAGAUUUGAUUUCCCCUAGUUCUAUUAUUUCCAUCAGAAAACCAAAAACAGAUUAUUGGGAUCCACCUGUAACUGACCAGAGCAAAAAGUUUUUAACACUUGUUGGUGUGUUACGAAUUUUACAUUCAAAACCAGAUCUCUUACAUUCCAAGGUUAGUAACCCAGCCAUCCUGAAUCAAAGGUUUUUCUCAACUAGGCUUUAGUGUAUGGAUGACUGGCUCAUGUAUUUACUGUAUAUUGGGAAGAAGUGAAGAAGUGAGAAGAAGUGAAGAAUUUCUUGGUCAAAGCUUAAGUUACAAAGAACAUGAGUGGUCUCGAAUUAGAUGCCUCUUCAACUCAAACACUCCUUACUGAGAGGACUUUAUAAAACAAGCAAAAAGUCUACCUCUCUCCACCCUCCCCAAAUUGCAAAAGUGAAAAUCUGAAAUGUGGCCGAUGUAGCUUUUCACUAAGAAGCAAUCAUGGAACGUGAGCUGAAUCAAUCCAUCUUCAUCUCCACUUCCUCCAAUCUAAAGGUUUUGCUCCCCAAUAUAAAGGAAUAGCUGAAGGAUGCAGCUAACCGAUGAACUUACCAGCAAAAUACAUUACAUGAGAAAUAUGCUAAUGUAGGCUAGAGGUGCAGGACAGUUAGGGGCAGGAGGGAGAAGGACAAUUCACAGAACUAGUGGCUUUUUCAAAGGAUUUUAGGGGACAUUUUUGGUCAUGGAGACUGGUGCUCACCUACCACUAAGGACAUACACAGUUACAGUCACUACUUAACAACGAUGUGAGGGUUUGACAUGACCCCAACUAAAAAAACUUGAGUGUUUAUGAAUGUAAUUACUGAGCUAUACUUGGCCUGAUUUCCUCAAGUAUGAUAUGCCUUUGACAUCACCCAAUAUUCAGGAAAUUUUGCCCUGUGAUUGGUACCAUAAAAAUGUAAGAACUAAUCAAAAGUUCAUUUCUGUUAAAAACCCUUCUUUUCCCUUAAGUAGCUACAUCUGGCAAGAUUCUCAUUUACAUUAAGCCUGUAGUCAACAAGUCUGUUACAAGGCAUACACACUAUACUUUGAUCAUUAAAUAAUGACACAACCAGCAAACUCCUUUGGUCUAACAUUUUUUAUUCCCUCAAAUUUGAUCCGAAUUUGUCAGUAUUUUAAAAAGUUUUUAAAAUUUGGUAUUUUUCUCUUAAGUUGACUAGAGACGAAUUUUUGCCAUGCUCUCCAGGCUGGUCUCAAACUCCUGGGCUCAAGUGAUCCUCCUGCCUUGGUCUCCCAAAGUGCUGGGAUUACCAGGCCGAGCCCCGCAUGACUUUUGAGGAUAUUACAGAUUUCCUUGUGUUGUAUCUUUGGAAUUUGGAGGCCCAAAUAUUGCCCCCCAUUCCCCAGAUUCCUGAUAGGAAAGCCUGCUCACACUCCCUUAUUUUGGAACAGGAAAUACUUCGUUGCUAAUUUCCAGUUGUGCAUGGCAGUGGUUGUAGGCAGCAGGUUUGGGACAGCAGGUGUCAUGUGGGAACUAGUUGAGGAAAGACUGACUUUGUCCAAUUAAAUGGCUUGGCUUUUUUUUUUUCUUUUUUUUUAAAUACCUUUAGUGUGAUAAAGCAGAUGGGCAGCCAUGCUCAGAAUAUGGGCAGCUGUUCACACUCUGGCUGCCUUCCUAUGAUUCCUGGACUUCCUGGAGUCCAAUGUUAUGGCACAGGUUCAGGCUAAGUUCAUUUCUACAAGAAGUGUCCCUGUACCAUGUCCAUUAGCAUAAGCUAGGGACAAGGGCAGUCAAAGGUCAAGAGAAGUUCAAAACAGCAUAACCUUUCUGUGCUUCUGUUUCCAAAUAACCCCUGUCUGCCCUGCUCCCCGAGUUUUUUCCUCGGCCGUCGUGUUUACCGUGUAGCUGUAAAACUCAAGAGAACAAGGACCGACUUGAUACAAGGGAAGUUAGAGAAUAGAAGUCAUUGUUGCUUAAAACAGGAGAAAUAAUUGAUUUAUGUUUGGGGGCCAGUUAGGCUAUAAAACAGGAACAGUAAAGGGACCUGUGACUUCAGGACUUGCUCUGAUUUCUGUCCCAUAGACAAGGGGCUUCCCAAUAAAGGCUGUCAGCUUUCUAGGCUAAAUUAUUAAUUCCUUUCAUGCCUCUCAGGGAUUGUAAACAGCACAUAAUAAAGGGAAACAGUUGAUAGUGUUCGGUUACUGGCCAGAUAGAGGGUCAAAGGGUAAAUAGUUGGAUUAGCAACAGCUGUUCUUCCUCGCCAAACUUUUUGUCUCUUAUUAUCUAUUUCAGAAAUACUGUUCCUGAAUUUUUGGCUUACAUAUAAUGAAGUCCAUUUCUCCUCUUGUAACAUAAUCCUACAAGUAAUUACACUGAGAGUAAACAUUGACCAAAAUUGAAAGUACUUACUUUAAUUCAGUUUCCAAAGUUGAAGAUUGAAUUUUUUUUUUUUUUUGGUAUGUGCUAUGUUGUCUGAUGUUCAAAGGAUAUAAUCCCAAGGAAAGUACCUGCUUGAAGUUAGACAUAUUAGAAGCUUUUUAGCUGUGUGGUUUUUUUUUUUCUCUUUUUUUACCAGCUGGUUGAGGAUCUUGGUGUAGCUUGAUUAAAAGAAAAAAACAUUGUUUUUGUUUAAACUGGUAGUAGAAUAAUGUAUGGUUCACUAUGGAAAACACUAAAAGAAAAUAGAAGCAUCUCUAAUCCCACCACCUAGAAAUAACCAUUGCUUCACGUUUGAGAGUAUGUCCUUCCAGGUUGUGUCCGAGCUCAUCUUUUACAUAAUUAGGAAUCUAUACUAUAUAUGCAAUUUUUGUAUCCUGUUUGUUUUCCCCCACUCUGUAUUACAUUGGGAACAUUGUCCCAAGUCAUGAAACGAUUUUCACAAAUGUUUUUAACGGAAGGAUAUUUCAUUAAAUAAGUAAAUAGCUUUAUCAUGAUUUAUUUAACCAUCCUCCUAUUGUUGAGCAUUUAGAUUUUCAGUUUUUUCUGCAUCAUAAAUAAUGCCACAGUGAACACGUUUGUGUAUAAAUUUUUUGUCUGCAUUUCGAAUGAGUGCUUUAGUUUUUUUAUGCAAGCCAAAGCUGCUCUUAUAAUUAAGAACAUAGACUCUGGCUCAAGAUUGCUUGGAUUCAACUUGGCUUCACUGUAAUCUUGGUUAAAUUACUUAAACUCUCUGCCUUCCUUUUCUCAUCUAUGAAAUGAGGACAGUAAAAUGUAUUUUUAUUUUAUUGGGUUGCUGUGAGGAUUAAGUGAAUGUAAUAUAUUUAAAGUUUGGAAUAGUGCUUGACAAAUGGUAAAUACUAUUAAGUGUAUACUGUUCUAGGCUAUGUAGUAUAAUGUUGAAAUUCUCAGUCUUUCUGCACUAAUGGGCUGUUGAAACUGUUUUAUUCAAUUAAGCUGGCCUGUGUUUCUUAAUGACACAAAGGUGUUGGCAGGUGUAAGUUACUGCUUCAAGUAAAUAGUUCAGAUGAGAUUGGGCGUGUUCAGAGUGUAUGACCAUAGACUCAAUUAAAUAGUUCAGUCACAGGAAUAGAAGAGCUCAUAUGCUGCUGACUCUUUUGGUCGGGACUUCUUUACCAUCUCAGUGACUGUUAGGGUGUUUUGGUCCUCUUCCCCAGCCAAUAGCAGGUAACCUCCCAAAUGACCAUCUGCCAACACAUUUAACCUCUUAGGAGACUGAACAUGUUAACCUUCUGCUUAUUUAAAACAGAUACUCGAAUUACACACUUUCUUUUUGGUCAAUAGCAAGGUCUUACAGAAAGCAUACUGAAGAAAAAGUUUGUAGAAUUUAAAAUCUGACUAUUACCAUGGAUUCCUGUUUACUCAGACUUUAAAAAAUAAAGUAUAUUCUAAUGAUCAAGGACCUAUAUAAAUGAUAUAGCAUAUAUAUAAUGUGUAUAAUAAAUAGUAUGUAUUAAUAUAUAGUAUAUGUCACUAUAUGUAAUAUAGUGUGUAUGUAUAUAUAUUUAUAUGAGUAUUUUAAAAGAGACUUGAAAGUUAAGUGCUGGGUGUGGUGGGUCACACCUGUAAUCCUAGCACUUUGGGAGGCCAAGGUGGACAGAUUAUUUUGAGCCUAGGAGUUUGAGACCAGCCUGGACAACAUGAUGAAACCCCGACUCUAGGCGUGUACCUGUAGUCCCAGUUACUUGGGAGGCUGAGGUGGGAGGAUCACCUGAGGCCCUGGAGGUUGAGGCUGCACUGAACCAAGAGAUUGCACCACUGCAUUCUAGCCUGGGUGUCGGGAGUGAGACCCUGUCUCAGAAAAAACGUAAAUUAAAUUUUGGUAUAUCUUGCCAUAUUGGUAGAUGCCCACCAAGGAGAGUUCUACAUGUGUUGGUGGGAUGAACAGGCAAGAUGAAAAAAACAAGAUAAAAAAUAGGCAAGAUAAAAAGAAAGCCUGGCACCACGAACUUGCUCUGGCUUUGCAUUCAACUGUCACGUGACUUGGGAUCCCAAAGAUAUUUUUUUGUGGAUUCUUCCAGCUACAAAAGAGAAAUGUGUACAUCUCAGCUAGCGUACCCUAAAAUUCCAGUAUUCUGUCACAUGUUCUAAUGGAUUUAUUCCUAGUUGUCAAACUAUGUGUCACAAUUUUUGGUCUCAGAAAGUAGUUUAUAUAAGCCCAAAUGUCUGCAGAGAGUGAACUUAAGACUGAAUGUUACAGAUGAAGGAAGAAAAGGAAAUUACCAUUUACUUGUGUAUUUGGUAUUCCUUGUGUGCCAGGCACUUUGCGUAUAUUCAGUAAGUGUGAGAAGGAUUAUAGCAUAUAAAAUGAUCUGAUUUUAAGUUUGACUUGGUAAUACUUAGUUCAUUUAACGCACUUAUUGUUCUUUUCUCCCUCCCUACUUUGGGUGCCAAGCUGAGACAUAGUUCUUGCCCAGAAAGGACUCUGGUUUAAUCAGGAAGGCAGACACAAAAUAUGAUGUGGCUUUUACCACAUAAUAGUAAGGAUAGCUAAUAUUUACUAUGCACAGAAUGUUUCACAUGCAUUUUUUAUUAAGCAUUCAUAAGAUUUGUUUAAAAAGAUACAAUCCCCAUCUUACAGAUGAGAACUAUGAGGCCUGAAGAGAUUAAAUGACUCACCCCAAAGUACCUAGUGAAGUAUCUGAGACUUCAGAGCCCCUGCUUUAUUAAAUAAUUAAUUUCUAUCCUGUCUCUAGCUGUCUUGAUUGUGACAGAUCUCAAAUGCUGAUGGUGGAAGACUUUAAGGCAGUGUAAUGAUUUAUAACAUAUAUAAUCAGGGUUUUUGUGUAAAAGAAUGAAGACUAUUUUUGAAGUGUCAUCUGGGCCUCUUCUGCGUGUAUUAGGGUGGUUUUGGACACAAAGUAGAAUGAUUCAUUGUGGAAUAGGUUCCCGAGUUGUCUUCUGUGGCUCAGAUUCAGGAUUAUUCCACUAUUUUUCAAGUGAGUUCUUUCCUGAAGCAACUUAAGAUAGUUCACAAAUCUCCCUUGUUUCCUCCCUUUAUGUCCCUUUUUCUCUGCAACACUGUUAGUGAUUUUGCUAUGUCACAUUCAUAACAGUUCCGAGUGCCUGCUUCCAAAGCUUCAGUUGAUUCUGUGGCAUUGCUGCUAGAUCAAGCCUUCUGAAUGUGGCCUUUUGCUGAGGAGUUCCCUUCUGAUAAGGAUUGUUUUGAUCAGGGUAGGGGUGGUAUGAGAUCCAGAGCUUAGGGUGAACUCUCAUCCCCUUGACCUCUGCCCCUAUUUGAGUUUAUACUGACUUGGUAGGGACUCCCUAUGGAGCCGAGAGUUUAGCACUUGUUUACAGUUGAUGAAAAGAUAGUUGCAUUCAAAGGCGGUUGUUGGGUCCUUGGAUAGUCUUGGAUGUCUGCCACUAUCUCUGGUGGGUGAAGGGAUUGCUUGAAUAUCUAAGUCUGGAGAUUUUAAUGAAUGACUAAGAAGGAAUGAGAAGAAAUUCUGAGGCUAGUUAGGUUCUGCAGUUGUUCUUUCCAUGGGAGCAAUAUUGCAGUAACAUUUUCAGAUGAGACAAAGACUUUUAAUAAACAUUUGUUUUAUUUUAUUAAAAAAAAGCUGAAAGGGGUUGCUUAAAUUCAGUGCUUGAUAACAAGGGAAUACAUGGGAAUUCUUCUCUUCCUUUUUUGAACUCUUGCCAAAGAGAAAACCUUCUGUGUUAGGCAAACGUAUCAGUAGUGGGGGGAUACCCUAGAUUAAAGUCACUGUCUUCAAAGUUGUACAUAGUUUUACAAAUUAACUUUUUUUUUCUAAAUAUCUCACAUAUUCUUAGCAUGCUGAGGCUAUAAUAACUCAGUUCUAACUGAGGCCCUUUCUGGGUACUCUUUGGUCAACCGGGACCACUCUUUGCCUCUUUACCUGAAGCUACUUUGUUUUUGUUUUAUUUUGGUCCAGUAUUUGUCAUAGAUAUGAUCUGAAAGAAAAGAUAAGCCUCUCUCUUUGAAGAGAGCCGACAGUCAUUGUGAACCAAAAUUGAAUGUGCUUUGUUGGUAAGCAUAAGAAAAUCAAAACUGCAAAAUAAGAUUCAAAGUGAAAAUACAGUGUUAAAGAUCUUUUUCAUCUGUUAGUACAAAAUUCCAUGUCCUAAGUGUAGUCUGCCCUAUAGAUGUAUUUUGUUUGACUUCCAGGAUGUUUAAAUAAAAUCAUGUUAGUUGUCAACAUUUAAAAUGUUCAAGAUGGCCGGGCGUGGUGGCUCGCGCCUGUAAUCCUAGCACUUUGGGAGGCUGAGGUGGGUGGAUCACCUGAGGUCAGGAGUUCGAGACCAGCCUGGCCAACAUGGUGAAACCCCAUCUCCACUAAAAAUACAAAAUUACCUGGACGUGGUGGCGCAUGCUUGUAAUCCCAGCUACUUGGGAGGCUGAUGGAGGCAGGAGAAUUGCUUGAACCCUGGAGGUGGAGGCCGCAGUGAGCUGAGAUUGCGUCAUUGCACUCUAGCCUGGGUGACAAGAGCAAAACUGCAUUUCAAAAAAACCCAAAAACGUUCAAGAGUUUCAAAAAACUUUGGAUUUCUGGCUUUCUUGAUAAAUUGUAAUAUCUAACAUUGAGCUCAGAUUUUUAUAUGGCAUCUCUUGGCUGGAACAGAGUAGUGGCUGCCUUCUUUAUAUGGAUUGGGGACACGGUCUUUUGUCACCCAGGCUGGAGUGCAAUGGUGCGAUCAUGGCUCACUGCAGCCUCGACCUCCUGGGCUCAAGCAGUUCUUCUCACCUCAGUCUCCCGAGUGGCUGGGACUAUAGGCGCGCAUUACCGCGGUGGGCUAAUCUUUGUGUUUUUUUGUAGAGGUGGGGUUUCACCAGGUUGCUCAGGCUGGUUUCCAACUCCUAGACUCAAGCAAUCCGCGCACCUCGGCUUCCCAGAGUGCUGAGAUUACAGGUGUGAGCCACUGUGCUCAGCCUGCUGCCUUCUUUAAAUGAGCGUAUACUCUUAGGUUUUCACAGAACCUUGGUGGCCUCCUUUACCCAUUUACGUUUCCUGCUAGUCUUCUGUAGGCAUUUGAGUUUUCAGCUCCUACAUUAAAUAAUUUUUAGGGAUGAUGAGAGUGUGGGAAAAUGGGAACUCUUAAAAAUGUAAUCUGAUACCUAUUAAAACUGAUAAUGUGCAGGUUAAUUUUUCAGACUUGGCAGUUUAAAAUUUAAAAAUAUAAAAUUUAAAAUUACAGGCCAGGUGAGAGGUAGCUCACUCCUGUCAUCCCAGCACUUUGUGGAUCCCUUGAGCUCAGGUGUUUGAGACCAGCCUGGGCAACAUGGCAAAACCUCAUCUCUACAAAAUAUACAAAAAUUAGCUGGGUGUGGCGGCACAUGUCUGUAGUCCCAGCUACUUGGGAGGAUCACUUGGUCCUGGGAGGUCGAGGCUACAGUGAGUUGUGAUCGCACCACUGCACUCCAGCCUGGGCAACAGAGUGAGACCCUGUCUCCACCCUCCCCGCCACAAAAGAAAACUUAGAUUGAACAAUUCAUACGUCUAGGAAUUUAUCCUAAAUACUUGACAGUUAUGAAAAAUGUAUGUUUACAGAUGCUUCUUUUAGCAUUUAUAAUAGUAAAAAAAAUUGGAUAACCAGGCGUGCUGGUGCAUGCCUGUCAUCCCAGCUACUGGGGAUGCUGAGGUGGGAGGAUCGCUUGAGCCCAGGAGGUGGAGGCUGCAGUGAGCCAAGAUCGCGCCACUGUACUCCAGCCUGGGCAGCAGAACGAGACCCUGUCUUUAAAAAAAAAAAAAAAAAAAAAAAAAAAAGGUAACAAUUUAAGUUUAAUAGGGGACUCGAUAAAUGGAUUGUGGUUAUUCAUGCAGUAGGAUGCUGUAGACUUAAGGAGAAGGCAAAUUUUUAGUCUGGAAGGUGAUCCAAUUUUAAUAGUGGUGUUUUUGGGAAAAUGAGAUUACAGGGUAUCUUUCAUUAUCUCUGAGUUUUCUGUUUUUAAGAACAUCACAUUAUUAAGAAAAAAGACAUGCAUUUAAAAAAUUCUCUCUCAUUUUAGCUGCCAGAUUUCCAUGGCUAUUCUGCCAAAUUGAGCCAAUAGGUUCUAGCUUCCACUUAAAGCACAGAUUUUACAUUCAGAAUUCUGUUAUCUUGAAAUUGUUCUAAGGAAGGGGGAAUCAGAGUCCUCAAGUAGCAGGAACCAUCUUUGAAGUCUGAGAAUAAAGUAAAAGACUUCUACAGCAUUUUCAGGCUUCUACUUGCAACCCUGCUUCCAUUCACUAGUAAAGCCAUCAGAAUUUGCCUCCUUUUCAGUGUCAGGCUUGAGGCUUGAGCCAGCACUAUUGAUAAUGGAGGGAGCUUCUUAUAUAAAUUGGGCUAUCCUGACAGUUGCAGGGAUACCUGCUGAAAGCGACCCUAAUGAAAUGCAUGGGUGCAUGGUACAGUGGAAAAAACAUGAGUGAAAGUUAGCAUCCUGGCCUUCCUGCUUUCUUGCUGAGUAGCAUAGGCAACGUGUGAAGCUCAGUUUGUUCAUCUUUGAAACAGUAGUAAUUCUUGUUAAAUGUUGUUUUAAAAAAUAAUGAGAUAAUAUACAUGAAUUGCCCAGCAGUUAGCUGCUCUAGUCCUGCAUGUUUCUCUUUUGUGGAAAUACAAGACAAAAGGUUUCUAAUUUCUUUUUGUUAAUAUUUGAUGAGCAUUUACUGUAUGUUAAUGACUUUAAAACAUUUAUCUCAUUUACUCUUCCUGGCAGCUCUACAAGGUUAUUCUCAACUCUUGUUCUGCCCCAUUUUACAGAUGAGGAAACUGACAGUUUAACACUUGGCCAAGGUCACACAGCUGGAAUCACCAUACUGUUUUCCAUAGCUGCCGCCCCACUUUACGUUCUCAUCAGCAGUGCUCUAGGGUUCCAAUUUCUCCACAUCCUCACCAACACUUAUUUACUGUGUUUUUGAUAGUAGCUCUCCUAAUGGUUGUGAGACAAUAUCUCAUUGUGGCUUUGAUUUGCAUUUCCCUAAUGAUUAGUGAUAUUGAGCAUCUUUUCAUGUGCUUAUUGACCAUUUGUGUGUCUUCUUUGGAGAAAUGUUUAUUGAGGUCUUUUGCCUAUUUAAUUGGAUUCUUUAUGGGUUUUUGUUUCAGUUAUACGAGUUCUUUCUGUGUUCUGUAUAUUAAUCUCUUAACAGAUACAUGAUUUGCAAAUAUUUUCAUCCAUUCUGCAGGUUGCUUUUUCAUUCUGUUGUGUCCGUCGAUGCACAAAAGUUUUACAUUUUCAUGUUAUCGAGCAGUUUUUUCUUUUGUUGCCUAUGCUUUUUGUAUCAUAUCCAAUAAACCAUUGCCAAACCCA